AUGCACGCUGGCGGCGUGCCUAAUCCAUGCAAGUCGCGCGAACAGACGAGGAGCUUGCUCCUCUGACGUUAGCGGCGGCCGGGUGAGUAACACGUGGAUAACCUACCUAUAAGACUGGGAUAACUUCGGGAAACCGGAGCUAAUACCGGAUAAUAUAUUGAACCGCAUGGUUCAAUAGUGAAAGACGGUUUUGCUGUCACUUAUAGAUGGAUCCGCGCCGCAUUAGCUAGUUGGUAAGGUAACGGCUUACCAAGGCAACGAUGCGUAGCCGACCUGAGAGGGUGAUGCGCCACACUGGAACUGAGACACGGUCCAGACUCCUACGGGAGGCAGCAGUAGGGAAUCUUCCGCAAUGGGCGAAAGCCUGACGGAGCAACGCCGCGUGAGUGAUGAAGGUCUUCGGAUCGUAAAACUCUGUUAUUAGGGAAGAACAAAUGUGUAAGUAACUAUGCACGUCUUGACGGUACCUAAUCAGAAAGCCACGGCUAACUACGUG
rnacentral:rRNA from 1 species